rnacentral:rRNA from 1 species
AGAGUUUGAUCCUGGCUCAGGAUGAACGCUAGCGGCAGGCCUAAUACAUGCAAGACGAACGGUAACUUUGAUAGCAAUAUGAAGCAAGAGUGUCGUACGGGUGCGUAACACGUAUGCAACCUACCCUUUACAGGCGGAUAGCUCGGGGAAACUCGAAUUAACCCGCCAUAAUAUAGUUGAAUGGCAUCAUUUAAUUAUUAAAACUGAGGUGGUAAAGGAUGGGCAUGCGUCUGAUUAGUUAGUUGGUGAGGUAAUGGCUCACCAAGACGAUGAUCAGUAGGGGAACUGAGAGGUUGAUCCCCCACACUGGCACUGAGAUACGGGCCAGACUCCUACGGGAGGCAGCAGUAGGGAAUAUUGGUCAAUGGGUGAGAGCCUGAACCAGCCAUGCCGCGUGCAGGAAGAAGGCCUUCUGGGUUGUAAACUGCUUUUGUCAGGGGAUAAAAAGCUCGUGCGCGAGUAAUUGCAGGUACCUGAUGAAUAAGCCACGGCUAACUACGUGCCAGCAGCCGCGGUAAUACGUAGGUGGCAAGCGUUGUCCGGAUUUAUUGGGUUUAAAGGGUGCGUAGGCGGCUGUCUAAGUCAGUGGUGAAAUACUCCAGCUUAACUGGAGGGGUGCCAUUGAUACUGGAUAGCUUGAGUACAGACGAGGUAGGCGGAAUUGACGGUGUAGCGGUGAAAUGCAUAGAUAUCGUCAAGAACUCCGAUAGUGAAGACAGCUUACUAGGCUGUAACUGACGCUGAGGCACGAAAGUGUGGGGAUCAAACAGGAUUAGAUACCCUGGUAGUCCACAC